rnacentral:lncRNA from 1 species
CUAUGAAAAUUCCAGUGAUAUUUUUUGCAGAAAGAGUUAAAAAAAAAUCCUAAAAUUCGUAUAGAAUCUCAAGGGACCUCAAAUAGCCAAAAAGAACUUGAAAAAGAACAAAACUGGAGGAUUUACACCCCUGAUUUCAUGACUUACUAUAAAGCUAUAUAAAAAGGGUGUGGCAUUGGCGUAAACACAGAUAUAAAGACCAAUGGAAUAGAAAAGAGAGCCUGAAGAUAAAACCUCACAUAUAUGGUCAAAUGAUUUUUGACAAGGGUACCAAGACCAUUCAAUAGGAAGGGACAGUCUUUUCAACAGUUAAUGCUGGGGGAGUUCCUGAAAUGGCUCAGUGGUUAACGAGUCUGACUAGGAACCAUGAGGUUGUGGGUUUGAUCCCUGGCCUUGCUCAGUGGGUUAAGGAUCCGGCGUUGCCGCGAGCUGUGGUGUAGGUUACAGACGCGGCUCGGAUCCAGCGUUCCUGUGGCUCUAGCGUAGACCAGCAGCUGUAGCUCCGAUUGGACCCCUAGCCUGGGAACUUCCAUGUGCCGCAGAAGCGGCCCUAGAAAUGGCAANAAAAAAAAAAAAAAAAAAAAAAAAAAAAAAAGCAGUUAAUGCUGGGAAAACUCGGUCUUUACGUGCAAAAGAAUGAAGGUGGACUUUUACCGAACUCCAUAUACAAAAAUUAACUCAAAUUGGAUCAAGAACCUAAAAUAUAAGGCCUCAAACAAUAACUUUUAGAAAACAUAAGACAAAACUUUAAGAUGUUGGAUUUGGCAGUGAUUUCUUAGAUAUGACACCAAAGGCACAGGUAAGAAGAGAAAUAGACAAAUUGGACUUCAUGACAAUUUUUUUAAUGAGUGCAUCAAAUACACUACAGAGUAAAUAACAACCCAUAGAAUGAGAGGAAAUAUUUGCCAAUCAUGUAUCUGAUAUAGGAUUAAUAUCCAGAAUAUAUAGAGAACUCCUAAAAGACAACACAAAAACAAACAAAAAAUUCAAAAGUUGACAAAGGAUUUAAAUAGACAUUUCUGAAAAAAGGAUUAUACAAAUGGCCAAUAAUCACAUGAUAAGAUAUUCAACAUCAGUAAUUAUUAGGAAAAUGUAAAUUCCCAAACCAGAAAACAACCAGUGCAGGUGAAGAUUUGGAGAAAUCGGGACACCUGUGCACUCUUGGUGGGAGGGUAGAAUGAUGAAACUGCUGUGGGAAGCAGCAUGGCAGCACAUGCAAAACUAAAAAUAGAGUUACCAUAUGUUCCACCAGUUCCACUUCUGCUAUAUAUCCAAAAGAACUGGAAGCAAGGUCUUGAAGAGAUAUUUGUCCACCAUGUUCAUAGCACCAUUAUUCACAGUAGCUAAAAUGUUGAAGCAACACAAGUGUCCAUCAACUGAUGAAUAGAUAAGCAAAUUCUACAUACAUGCAAUGGAAUAUUACUCAGCCUUUAAAAGGAAGAAAAUUUUGCAUUAUACUACAACAUGGGUGAACCUUGAGGACAUUAUGCUGAGUGAAAUAAGUCAGUUACAAAAGUAUAAAUACAGUGUGACUCCACUUAUAUGGGGUACUUAGAACAGUCAAAAUUAUAAAGACAGAAAGUACAGUGGUGGUUGCCAUGGGGUAGGGGAGGAGAGUCUGAGGAGCUGGUGUUUAAUGGGUAUUGAGUUUCAGUUUCAUGAGAUGGAAAAAUUUAUGGAGAUGGAAGGUGGUGAUGGUGCACAACACUGAGUGCAUUUAAUAUCUCUGACACGGACAUGUAGAAUCGUUAAGAUGGGAGUUCCCACUGUGGCUCAGGGGCGAUGAACCCGACUAGCAUCCAUGAGGAUGCAGGUUUGACCUCUGGCCCUGCUCAGGGCGUUAAGGAUCCAGCAUUGCCACAGCUCUGGUAUGGGUCAAAGGUGCAGCUGGGAUCUGGUGUUGCUGUGGCUGUGGCGUAGGCUGGCAACUGUAACCCCAUUUGACCCCUAGGAACUGUCAUAUGCUGUGGGUGUAGCCCUAUAAUGAAAAAAAAAAAGGUUAAAAUGGUAAUUGCUAUGCUGUGUGUAUUUUACAUUACAAAAGUGGAAAAAAGUAAAAACUUUGGUACAAUCAUGCUAUGGAAUAUUACUCAGCAAUAGAAAGACAUGAACCGUUUACACCCAACUUGCAUAACUCUGCAGUGAAUUAUGCUGAAAAAAAUCCCAUCCCAAAAGUUUACAUUCUGUAUAGUUUCACCUGUAUGGCAUUCUCAAAAUGACAAAAUAGUGGAAAAGGAGAACAGAUUAGUGGUGCCAGGGCUUAGGGAAGAAAAAGAGAGAAGUGAGUCUAACCAUAAAAGGACGGAUGAGGCAUUCUUGUGGUUGUGGAAUGUUCUGUGUCUUCGCUGUGAAUUGCUGGUUGUGACAUUUUACUAGAGUUUUGCAAAUAUCACCAUUGGGGAAAACCGGGUGAAGAGCACACUGGAUAUCUCUGAAUUUUUCUUCUAUUUGCAUGUGAAUCUUUUUAUCUUAAAAUAUGUUUAAUAAUUAAAAAACAAAAAUACUAAUAUAAAUAAGUGAAUAAAUAAGGUGUAUCAGUUACUCCAGUACUUUAGCUUCUGAGUACAUUGCAGAGCAUCAUAAAUAUUUAUUGGGAACUUACCAUGUGCAGAACACUGUUUUAGCCCAAGAUACAGCAACAAACAAUGACAAUUUAAAAGAACAAUAAGCACAAGCCGUACUCCAAUUGAUGCAUCUCUUUUCAAGUUUAUUUAACAUUAGUUUUAGCCUUAAUGAUCAAAGUGUUUGCUGGAUUUGUUUUCUGAUAGGAAUGUUAUGACUGGAUUUUAAAAUUAAGUGAGUUAUAAACACAUUCAUUUGCGAAUAACUGCAAUGACUCAAAAGCAUAUUACUUAAUUAUCUUUGGGUCAGAUUAGUAGACAGACAGACGCUUCACCCAGGUAAAGGUGCUCAUUUACCUUUCCUGUGACAGACUCUGGCUAUAACAUUUAUUCACGUAAUAGGUAUAAACAUUUGUUUGGUUAAAAUAGCACUGGACUGGACUUCCAGUCCUAGCUCAGUGGUAUGAACUCGACUAGUAUCCAUGGGGAUGCAGGUUCAGUCCCUGGCCUUGCUCAGUGGGUUAAGGAUCCAGCCUUGCUGUGAGCUGUGGUGUAGGUCACAGUUGCGACUCAGAUCCCGCAUUGCUGUGGCUAUGGCGUAGGCCGGCAGCCACAGCUUGAACUCAGCCCCCUAGCCUGGGAACCUCCAUAUGCCAUGGGUGCAGCCCUAAAAAGACAAAAAAAAAAAAAAAAAAGGCACUGGAUGAUUUUAAUGAAUUUCUUAAUAGAAGGUAAGGGAUAUUUUAAAAUUUAUUUAUUAUUCAAAUAAAUUUGGCAAUACGCCAUCCUCUCUCAACUUGUGAGCCAAUAAGAACAUGGAGAAUCUAUCCUUGAAUUUAUCAGUCAUUUAAAACUAUUCACUUAGAAUGGGUAAGCAAUGAAGUCCUGCUGUAUAGCACAGGGAACUAUAUCCAGUCUCUUGGGCUAGACCAUGAUGGAGAAUAACAGAAGAAACGGAAUGAAUGUGUAUGUGUGGCUGUACAGCAGAAAUUGGCACAACACUGUAAAUCAACCAUAAUUUUUAAAAACUCUGCAAAAUAAUCAGGAUCCAAAGCUAUUUUUUGCAAUAUUUAUCACCUAUUGAUGGUAAAUUAUUAAAAUUCCUAUGGGUCAUAUUAUUUAAUUUGGAGUUAAUUAAAAUGAAACUGUAUAAAUAGAAUGUUGUAUAAAUGCAUGUGCUAAGUGUUGAUAUGGCUAAGGCGUUGUAAUGCAUGCUGGUUCAGAUAAAAUAAAGGAUCCUUCUUCCUAAUCUGUGUAUACACUCAUCCACGCAUAAGCGUGUGUAUAAUGUGGGUUAUGUAUUUAACAUGCACAUAGUUCAAAGGAAUGAACAUUUAGUUAAAAUUAUAAAACUUAACUCCUAAUUCUGGGUAUUCCCAUAAAUAACUAAAUGAAUUUGUUCACAUCAUUUAAUUUUUUUGAGUCUCAGUUUCCUCAUCAGUAAAAUGAUAUAAAAAUAUCUGCCUUUUAUCUUUUAUAUGUCAUCAUAAAAAUCAAAUUGGGAGUUCCCACUGUGGCUCAGUGGGUUAUGAACCCGACUAGUAUCCAUGAGUAUGUGGAUUUGAUCCCUGGCCUUGCUCAGUGGAUUAAGGAUCCGGCAUUGCUGUUAGCUGUGGUGCAGAUUGCAAACUUGGCUUGGAUCUGGUGUUGCUGUGGCUCUGGUGCAGGUCAGCAACUGCAGGUCUGAUUUGACCCCUAGCCCGGGAACUUCCAUAUGCCACAGGUGUGGCCCUAAAAAAAAUAAAAUAAAAAAAUAAAACUGAGGAGUUCCCUGGUGGCCAAGCAGUUAAGGAUCUGACAUUGUCACUGCUGUGGCUCAGGUCACUGCUGUGGUGUGAGUUCAAUCCCUAGCCCCAGAACUUCUGCAUGCUGUGGCCGUGGACAAAAAAUCAAAUUAAGAAGCAGAUAUGAGCAAGAUUUCAUAAGUAGAGAGGGUUCUUCAAACACAACCUUUCAUUAUAAAACAUGGCAGAAUUUUGCGAUAAACUCAAUUUAGUUAACAAUUUUUGAAUGACUAAAUAAACUUUUAAACAUAUGAUUAGUAGAAAAGUAAGGGCAUGUUACAGAUGCCCAUAGGUCACUCUCCAAAUGUCUACAGGUGCUCCUGAGCAAUUUAUCCUCUUCUAAUUAAGCUUGUUUUGCUUCAAUAUAUGAACAACCAAGAAAAAUGAUAAUUUAUCAUGGCACUUUGUUCUCCGUUAUGUUUAAUUAUAUUAACAUUAACUAUGUUUAAUUAUGACUUAUUAACACUAAUUUUAAAAGCUUAUUCUGUCCUGAGAAUAAACUAAGAGAAUAGGAAAAACAUAACCUCCUUGCCGGAGGGGAACAUUUCUCCCAUUGACACGUUACUUGAGAUCAUACUAUUUAAUAACAGCUCCAGUGCUGUUACUAGUACAGUCGCUGAAAUGAUUCCACCAGCUCCACAGCACUGUAAAUAUAAUAGUUCUUUUGGUUUUUUCAACCCGUGGCAUAUGGAAGUUCCCAGGCUAGGUGUUGACUCGGAGCCAUAGCUGCCAGCCUGCACUGCAGCCACAGCAACGCAGGAAGCGUCAGCAACCUACUCCUACACCACAGCUCACAGCAAUGCCAGAUCCCUAACCCACUGAGCGAGGGCAGGGAUUGAACCCACAUCCUCAUGGAUACCAGUCAAAUUCAUUUCCGCUGGGCCAUGACAAGAACCCCCUAUUUGUUUUUUGACGCAGCUCAAAUUGACACAGAUUCAGCUACUUGUGGGCUAAACAGUGUUUGUGAUGGGUUACAUUAUCGACCUUUUAAUACUCUUGUCUCUACGGGAGGAUAUGUUUCAGGUUCCCUUAAUUUUAUUUAUAAGUGAACUUUGGAAACAUAUCCAUUUGUAAUAUGCCUAUACCCUCAUGUAACAAUAUUGCUCUAUCUUUUAUUAAAAAUGCAUUGCAUUUAACUACAUAUGAUAUGAUAAUAAUUAAAAAACAAAGAAUGCUUUUCUAGUAUUUCCUUUUCCUAUUUAGAAGCAUCUAGGUCAUUCUCUGCUCUGUGCUUCAGAAGAAGGCUGAGGACAAAAAAAAAAAGAUAGAUUCAAGAAGGUAUUUCCUGGCAUUUGGGGAUCAGCCGCUCAGGCCUGAAUAGAGGAGUGGAUGGGGAGGAAGUGAAAUGGACUCCGUUCAAAGACAAUAAAGCUGAUUCAGGGCAGCACCUGAUGUUGCAAGAGCCAUGCUUCCUGGUUCCUUCUUACCUCCAGACCGGAUAACAACCUCCUGGGCCCAGACUGGAAGAGGUGUCGGAAAGGAGAUUAGAGGUGAGUAGAUGCUGAUGAUGGUGGGUGUCAAGGCCCUGCCCCUCUGCUUUCAGUGCACCCUGGAGACCCGGUAGGAAAGGGAGGCAGCAGCCAUCAUGAUAGGCUUGGGCUCUGAAGACAUCCUUACAGAUCUUCCCUCAGCAAGGGCCAGCAUCAUAGACGAGUGCCUCAGAGCUGGUGCUGGACCCCUACUGACGGGAAAAGGACUCAGCAAAGAGCAGCAGGCACGAUGACCAGAGGCCAGAGGGAGCAAGGACAAUGUAGCAGAUGCCGUGUUGACAGAUGACAGCCAGAAAUCCACAGCUGCCACACAUCCUCCUGUGCCUCAUGUGGCUCCGGGAACCUAGGUGGGAGCCUGCAUAAAUGAGUGGGCAGAAAAUCCAAACUGAGUGGGCGAAAGGAGAGCUGGGAAUAUUUUCCUGCAAACAUUAGGAAUUAAAUGGACAUUAGCAAGCAAGGCGGUCUUCAUAAACAUUCUAACACCCCUCUUAAGAAAGAAUAUUUUGGUUAUAAACCACAGUCUUAGGAAUAAUUUAUUUUGCAUUAAAAUACAUGUUUAAACUUAGGGAUUGUAUUGAUUUUUUGUAUAAAUCUCUUGAGUAGAAAGUAAAUUAUAGAAUAUUAUGUACAUUUUGAUAUCUAAAUAAAAAGAAUAGGAAACAAUAUGUUAUUUUUCAUACAAAACCAUAAAAAUACAGUAAGAAUUUACACCAAAUUUAUUGGAGAAGUUCCUUUGGGGAGGAAGCAAGUGAGACAGGGGUUUCAAGUAUAGCUAUAAUGUUUGUUUUUAGGAAAAAUAGUUAAAACAUAUUAAAAUAUGUAAAACUCACUCUUAUUCUUCCUCGCUUUCAGAAUAAGCCUUUAGUAAAAAUGCCAGUGUUAUCAUCUACUAGUUUCUUUUUCCCUCAGUGGCAGUUGAUAUUGAUGACGACAGGGAAGUUCAAGUAUCUACAGAAAUGUGUUGAUGGAGUCCCUGGUGGCUCAGUGGAUUAGGAAUCUCAUGUUAUCACUGUGUAGUUCAGGCUGCUGCUGUGACAGGGUUUGAUCCCUGGCCUGAGAACUGCAUGCCAUGGAUGUGGCCAAAAAAAAAAAAAAAAAAA